rnacentral:rRNA from 1 species
GAUGAACGCUGGCGGCGUGCCUAAUACAUGCAAGUCGAGCGAACAGACGGGGAGCUUGCUCCUCUGACGUUAGCGGCGGACGGGUGAGUAACACGUGGAUAACCUACCUAUAAGACUGGGAUAACUUCGGGAAACCGGAGCUAAUACCGGAUAAUAUAUUGAACCGCAUGGUUCAAUAGUGAAAGACGGUUUUGCUGUCACUUAUAGAUGGAUCCGCGCCGCAUUAGCUAGUUGGUAAGGUAACGGCUUACCAAGGCAACGAUGCGUAGCCGACCUGAGAGGGUGGUCGGCCACACUGGAACUGAGACACGGUCCAGACUCCUACGGGAGGCAGCAGUAGGGAAUCUUCCGCAAUGGGCGAAAGCCUGACGGAGCAACGCCGCGUGAGUGAUGAAGGUCUUCGGAUCGUAAAACUCUGUUAUUAGGGAAGAACAAAUGUGUAAGUAACUAUGCACGUCUUGACGGUACCUAAUCAGAAAGCCACGGCUAACUACGUG